UCGGAUGCGAUCCUUCAUGAUGAAAGGACCUUUUAUCCCGUAACAUGGCAUCUUCAUUCAACUUGCUCCUUGGAAUUUCAGCGCAGUGGGGCCCUUCCCAUAGAUAGAAAUCUGAAUGAAUAGGGUUUUAAUUAUUUCAUUCCUUCGCUCUCAAGAAAAUGUUUUUCUGUUGUAAUUAUAUAAAUAAUUAUAUAAAUAAAUAACAUUUUUUUCUUUUUUUAGGCUACGUUUUUGUAAAAUUAAAGGUUUUUGGAGCAUACUAGCUGGAUGAAAGCUCUUUAUAGGCCAGAGAAUAAUUGUAAAAUAUGAACAGCAUGUCACUUUUCCAUUGCAGUGUAACAGUAAAUACAUUUGCUACAAGUAUUUAUGAUUAUUAGCUAAUCUAUUUGAUUCCCUUUCAUCAACUUUGUCCACUUUCUCUGUUAUAUGUAAGUGUGCACACACAUACAAACACGUAAAAAAACCUACUGCAUGCCUGGGAAGUCCAUAGCUAAACCAAUCUUAAGUAUCUGUACAUUUGAUCCUCCAGGAGAGCAAGUCAUUAUGAGGAAUGAGACAUAAUUUGAAAUGUCUUGAUUAAAAGAAG
rnacentral:lncRNA from 10 species